GAUGAACGCUAGCGGCAGGCUUAACACAUGCAAGUCGAGGGGUAGGAGAAGCUUGCUUUUCUGAGACCGGCGCACGGGUGCGUAACGCGUAUGCAAUCUACCUUUCACAGAGGGAUAGCCCAGAGAAAUUUGGAUUAAUACCUCAUAGUAUACUUGAAUGGCAUCAUUUAAUUAUUAAAGAUUUAUCGGUGAAAGAUGAGCAUGCGUCCCAUUAGCUAGUUGGUAUGGUAACGGCAUACCAAGGCUACGAUGGGUAGGGGUCCUGAGAGGGAGAUCCCCCACACUGGUACUGAGACACGGACCAGACUCCUACGGGAGGCAGCAGUGAGGAAUAUUGGACAAUGGGCGCAAGCCUGAUCCAGCCAUGCCGCGUGCAGGAUGACGGUCCUAUGGAUUGUAAACUGCUUUUAUACAGGAAGAAACCCCUCUACGUGUAGAGACUUGACGGUACUGUAAGAAUAAGGAUCGGCUAACUCCGUGCCAGCAGCCGCGGUAAUACGGAGGAUCCAAGCGUUAUCCGGAAUCAUUGGGUUUAAAGGGUCCGUAGGCGGUCAGGUAAGUCAGUGGUGAAAGCCCAUCGCUCAACGGUGGAACGGCCAUUGAUACUGUCUGACUUGAAUUAUUAGGAAGUAACUAGAAUAUGUAGUGUAGCGGUGAAAUGCUUAGAGAUUACAUGGAAUACCAAUUGCGAAGGCAGGUUACUACUAAUUGAUUGACGCUGAUGGACGAAAGCGUGGGUAGCGAACAGGAUUAGAUACCCUGGUAGUCCACGCCGUAAACGAUGGAUACUAGCUGUUGGGAGCAAUCUCAGUGGCUAAGCGAAAGUGAUAAGUAUCCCACCUGGGGAGUACGAACGCAAGUUUGAAACUCAAAGGAAUUGACGGGGGCCCGCACAAGCGGUGGAGCAUGUGGUUUAAUUCGAUGAUACGCGAGGAACCUUACCAAGGCUUAAAUGUAGAUUGACCGGUUGGAAACAG
rnacentral:rRNA from 1 species